UACAGAGGUCUCAAGCGUUGUUCGGAUUCAUUGGGCGUAAAGGGUGCGUAGGCGGCGCGGUAAGUCGGAUGUGAAAUCUCGGAGCUUAACUUCGAAACUGCAUUCGAUACUGCCGUGCUUGAGGACUGGAGAGGAGACUGGAAUUUACGGUGUAGCGGUGAAAUGCGUAGAUAUCGUAAGGAAGACCAGUGGCGAAGGCGGGUCUCUGGACAGUUCCCUGACGCUGAGGCACGAAGGCCAGGGGGAGCAAACGGG
rnacentral:rRNA from 1 species